rnacentral:misc_RNA from 1 species
ACUGCUCUAAGAAUAUUGCUUGAUACUAUUUUGGAAGCUCUUGCUAUUAGGUUCCUUGGGAUUUUACUAUUUAUUGUAGUCACCUUUGAAGAUAAUCCAAGCAGUUACCAUUACCGAGUACCUUAUGAUGACCACUUAGCAAUUAGCAGGGUUACUUCCUCAUGUUUAAGGCUAUUCAACUGCUGUUCAUUUUUAUAACCCUUUGUCGCGCUUGGGGAUGAUGGUAAAAGAUGGAAGAUUACUGUCUAAAUCAGCAUCCUGGAUGUAAAAUUCUAUAAAAGUUUUACAUUGUACCUUGAGUUUGGAUUUUGUACUCUGAGUAGCAUUCAUUGCUUAUGCUUCACAUUGAUUUUUCACACAGAAAGUUUUAUAUUGAUUUAAUAAUAUUUCCUAAUGCCUUUUUUUUUUCCUUCCAAAAACUAUUUGCCUCCUGAUCUUCUCCAGACCCAACAUGGU